AGGGAGAUAGUUUAACGGUAAAAUAUCGAUCUUCAACAUCGAGGUUAUAGGUUCAAAUCCUUUUCUCCCUG
rnacentral:tRNA from 1 species